CUGUACUAUACAGUGGUAUCAGUUUAAAUGGUUAUAUAAAUAUCCAUGUUUUAUCCUUAAUUUUGUCUUGUAGUCUAAAAUGUUUACUAUCUUGCCUUUCAAGAAAAAGUUUCCUGAUCCCUUAUCUAGGAUACAAAGGAGGAAUCCCAAAUUCAUGGCGAUGGAGAAGAUGGACUGGCUGAGUUCUCCACAGCUUACUUACUUCCUGCUCUGAUUUGUAUCCCAACAAGACUUGCUUCCUGUUACUAACAUGUGUGGCUGGACCAGUACAGAGAGCUGCAUUUCAGAGGACAGGUCAAAGAAUAAUGUGAUCAGGAGCUGUAUAGUCAGAAACCAGAAGAAAUGCUUGAUUCUAAGAUUCUCAGUCAUCCAACUAAUGUUGAUGAGAGUGGUAAGUAGGAGUUGGUUCCAGUUGACUGAUAA
rnacentral:lncRNA from 1 species